UAAAGUGGAUGGUGAGAUCAUUUCCUUAAAAGGAAAGUGGUACACUCUUUGCGGGCGCCUGAUAUAGUAAUUGUGCCCCACUUUUGACGGACGGAGGGAGUAAGAGCAUUGAAUUAAAGUAUAAAAACUAGAGUUCAGAUCAAACACUAUCAGUUGGUUGUGAAUUAGUGUUUCUUUUAAUAUUGUAUUCUAUUUCAUAGUUAAAUUAAUGAAAAUAUCUUAUUUUUACAGGCCACUGUCUUCCGGAUGUGGGUAAAAUACAACAAGGAAAAAAGAGACCCCCGAGUCAAACACACAAAACGAGCUUCAGAUUGCAACAAAGGACUUAUUCGAACUGUCACACUUCGUAAUUGGGAAGCAACCAUCCUAGGGCCAUAUUAAACCAUGACAAGAUUACGACAAGCAGCACACAUGGGCAGAGAAUGACUAUGCAGUAAGCAUACAAAAUAUGGUGCCCCUGGCUCGUUUGCUUCCCAUGUCCUGAAAUAUGCAGGUUUCUACGACGUAAGACCAGAUAUUGAAGAAUCGAUAAGAUAGUGGAAGAUAGAACAUCCAAAAGACGUCACCCUGUAUGAGCAAAGUGACGAUGUCAACUGUGGACCAUUCGCACUCAAGUUCGUUGAGGCGAUACUGAAGGGCCGGUGGGAAAAUGGAUUCAAUGCGAAAAGCUUGAAGAAGUACAUGAAUGACAUAGCGAUGACAAUCUAUGGAUUCAGCACUGCAUUUGACGAGUGAAGAAAAAAACUUGAAUUUUUAUCUGAUACUUUUGAAUUUGAUGGAUGAACGUUUUUAAAUACUUUGAAUAUUUUGGCUUUUUCUGGUUUGUAGGGCAGCUUAGAACUAAAAACUACGAAUUGUUGGCUAUGAUUUGGUUGGAUUAUGUCUAUGUUAGAUAAGUAUAUUUUGGCUAAGUUUGUUUAGGAAUUUGAAUGGUUAGGUAUCUGAAGGAUUAUGUAUUUGAAUGGUUAAGUAGGUAGGAUAUGUUGCAUGCU